GACGAACGCUGGCGGCGUGCUUAGCACAUGCAAGUCGAGCGAUGAAGUUUUUUCGGAAAUGGAUUAGCGGCGAACGGGUGAGGAACACGUGAAGAAUCUGCCCUCCACUUUGGGAUAACACAGGGAAACCUGUGCUAAUACCGAAUAUUGAAACAUAAGUGGCAUCACUGAGUUUUGAAAGAAUUUCGGUGGAGGAUGACUUCGCGGCCUAUCAGCUAGUUGGUGAGGUAAUGGCUCACCAAGGCAACGACGGGUAGCCGGCCUGAGAGGGCGACCGGCCACACUGGGACUGAGACACGGCCCAGACUCCUACGGGAGGCAGCAGUGGGGAAUAUUGGGCAAUGGAGGAAACUCUGACCCAGCGACGCCGCGUGCGGGAUGAAGGCCUUCGGGUUGUAAACCGCUUUCAGUAGGGAAGAAGCGAAAGUGACGGUACCUACAAAAGAAGCAUCGGCUAACUAUGUGCCAGCCGCCGCAGUAA
rnacentral:rRNA from 1 species